rnacentral:rRNA from 1 species
AACGCGAAGAACCUUACCUGGGCUCGAAAUGUAGUGGAAUCCGGUAGAAAUAUCGGCGUCUAGCAAUAGACCGCUAUAUAGGUGCUGCAUGGCUGUCGUCAGCUCGUGUCGUGAGAUGUUGGGUUAAGUCCCGCAACGAGCGCAACCCUUAUCCCUAGUUGCCAUCGGGUCAAGCCGGGCACUCUAGUGAAACUGCCUCGGAUAACGAGGAGGAAGGUGGGGAUGACGUCAAGUCCUCAUGGCCUUUAUGUCCAGGGCUACACACGUGCUACAAUGGUCGGUACAAACCGUCGCAAACCCGUGAGGGGGAGCUAAUCGGAAAAAGCCGGCCUCAGUUCGGAUUGGAGUCUGCAACUCGACUCCAUGAAGCUGGAAUCGCUAGUAAUCGCGGAUCAGAACGCCGCGGUGAAUACGUUCCCGGGCCUUGUACACACCGACAUA